GUGGGGAAUAUUCCGCAAUGGACGAAAGUCUGACGGAGCAACGCCGCGUGAGUGAUGAAGGUUUUCGGACUGUAAAGCUCUGUUGUUUAGGACGAAAGUGCCUGUUGCGAACAGUUACAGGUAUUGACGGUACUAAACGAGGAAGCCACGGCUAACUACGUGCCAGCAGCCGCGGUAAUACGUAGGUGGCAAGCGUUGUCCGGAAUUAUUGGGCGUAAAGAGCAUGUAGGCGGAGAUUUAAGUCUGUUGUGAAAAUGCGGGGCUCAACCCCGUAUUGCGAUGGAAACUGAAUUUCUUGAGUGCAGGAGAGGAAAGGGGAAUUCCCAGUGUAGCGGUGAAAUGCGUAGAUAUUGGGAGGAACACCAGUGGCGAAGGCGCCUUUCUGGACUGUGUCUGACGCUGAGAUGCGAAAGCCAGGGUAGCGAACGGGAUUAGAUACCCUAGUAGUCC
rnacentral:rRNA from 1 species